GGCCCAAGAGCAAGUUUGCCUUGGUCGUGUGUCGGUUUCCUGUGUUGUAUACCUACUAUAAUGGAAUUCGAAUGUGCAACAUUUUGUUAUUCGCCUUGUGCUGUCCCAUCGGUUGUCCCUUUGGGGUACGGUGUUGGGUGAACCUCGAAGUGAUCUUCAUGUUCUUCGUCACCCACGAAAUGUGUUGUUGGCGCGGCCCAUGAAGAUUGCUUGAGCUCUCGGAUGCUGAAUAUGCUUCAGGUAGUAGGCCUACGGCCUCUCUUUGCCCGAAUUAAGCGUUUAUUCGCUCAUUACCGAACGACGUCCGGUGGUGCCUUGAUGUGUUGGAGCCCYCGGGUUUUGGCAUCGUCAUGCAUC
rnacentral:misc_RNA from 1 species